rnacentral:rRNA from 1 species
UACGUAGGGUGCAAGCGUUAAUCGGAAUUACUGGGCGUAAAGCGUGCGCAGGCGGUUGUGUAAGUCUGUCGUGAAAUCCCCGGGCUCAACCUGGGAAUUGCGAUGGAGACUGCACGGCUAGAGUGUGUCAGAGGGGGGUAGAAUUCCACGUGUAGCAGUGAAAUGCGUAGAUAUGUGGAGGAACACCGAUGGCGAAGGCAGCUGCCUGGCCCAGAACUGACGCUGAGGUGCGAAAAGCGUGGGGAGCGAACGGG